UACGAGGGGUGCAAGCGUUGUUCGGAAUCACUGGGCGUAAAGGGAGCGUAGGCGGAACUCCAAGUCGGUCGUACAAUGCCGGGGCCCAACCCCGGACCUGCGGCCGAGACUGGUUUUCUUGAGUUAUUCAGAGGCAGGCGGAAUUCCUAGUGUAGCGGUGGAAUGCGUAGAGAUUAGGAAGAACACCAAUGGCGAAGGCAGCCUGCUGGGGAUUAACUGACGCUGAGGCUCGAAAGUGUGGGUAGCAAACAGG
rnacentral:rRNA from 1 species